CUAUAUUACAUUGCUUUCAAAUUGUGUAAGCAAAUAUUCAAAUAGAUUUAAAUGUAGAAUAAGUAGAGAAUGUCUGUUUCUACAUGCAAUUCACUUACCAACACUUUGACUGUAAGAAUCUGUUCUUUAUUUUUUUUCUUUAUUUUUUUCUCCAGAAAAUAUGCUCUUUCCGUAUUUUAUCACAGUUUAUCACAAGCUGCACACAUCAGGUGUUUCAGUGAACAUGCAUCAUUUUUCUGUUACAGAACAGGAGCGGGUUUUAAGCAAUAAGAAAAGCAGUCAUGGUGUAUCUGGGAUCUUUAUUAAAUUAAUGGUGAGGGUGAGAGAGGAGCAUAUGCCUCUCUGUGUUUCUUGUGAGACUGUGUGGCAUCAUUGGAGGAAUCUUUUCGACUUCAGAUAACCUUCACAUGUUAUACAAAAUUGAUUGGGUUUUUUGUUGACAUUAUCUGCUGUCGCUUUAGACUUGGAGCAGAUCAAUCGAAGAAGGUGAGUUACUACUAAGUCAUGAUGCAUGAUUUAUUUCUAAAAAUAAGACAAAGUAUAUCUAUGAAUAAUGUGCUAAUCUACUUGAGUUUUAUGUUUUUCAGGGUUCUCCCUGAUUAGGACGGCCUAGAACAUUUUACAUGUAUUUAUUUAGAAGAGACAUUUAUAUAAAGCGAAAAAAUGAUAAGUCCUGGAUGGUAGCCUAUAA